rnacentral:rRNA from 1 species
GCAGGCUGAAACCCGCCUGUAUGAAGUUGGAAUCGCUAGUAAAUUGCGGAUCAGCAUGCCGCGGUGAAUACGUUCCCGGGCCUUGUACACACCGCCCGUCACACCAUGAGAGUCGGGAACACCCGAAGUCCGUAGCCUAACCGCAAGGGGGGCGCGGCCGAAGGUGGGUUCGAUAAUUGGGGUGAAGUCGUAACAAGGUAGC